UCGGUAGACGCUACGGACUUAAAUAAUUUGAGCCUUAGUAGAAAAACUUACUAAAUGCCUCUACCCCCAAAACUAGAAUUUUUUUCUAUUGACACAAGCUUCGAGU
rnacentral:tRNA from 1 species